UGACGAUGCUUGUGCUGGUGCGGAACGCAUAUGUGCACGGCUUUCGUGCUCAAAUCCACUCAAACCCCUGUGCACCUUUGAACGGUUGAAGCUAGUAGUUAGUAACUGUAACUUUCGACUCGAUGACUCGGUACUGUUAGUAUUAACUAGCAGGAAAACGUUAAAGAGAAGAGAGGGUGAAGGCGAACGCGAACGCUUUGACUAGUUUAUAUUAUUACAAACCCUUUUAUUGUUAUGUGAAUGUAAUGCUCCUUGUGGGCGAUAAUGUUAAUACAACUUUCAACAACGGAUCUCUAGGCUCUCGCAUCGAUGAAGAACGCAGCGAAAUGCGAUAAGUAAUGUGAAUUGCAGAAUUCAGUGAAUCAUCGAAUCUUUGAACGCACCUUGCGCCCCUUGGUAUUCCGAGGGGCAUGCCUGUUUGAGUGUCGUGUUAAUCUCAAAUCACUUGUCUUAUGUUUGCUUCUUGAUUGAAGUAGGCUGACUUGCGAUUUGGACUUGGAGGUUUAUGCUGGCCCGGGCGACUUUGUUGUUACCCUUUGGUUUGCCGGCUCCUCUUAAAUACAUUAGCUGGACUUUGGUUCGCGUUUUAUGGUGUAAUAGUGUUAUUAUGCUUCACCGGAGCGCUUGCCUAACGGGUCUGCUUCUAAUCGUCCGUGUAAUAUAGGACAAGGAUCCCUUAGUGGCCUUAACUCUGACACCUUGACCUCAAUCUUGUAGGACUACCCGCUGAACUCUUUCCAUAUGACAACUCCGAAGCAAGAAUCAAUAAACCAGUUUUGAAACCCGAAAGCUUGUGCCGGGUGCGGAAACUCAUAUGUGCACGGGCUUUCUUCCUCAAUCCAUUCAACCCCCGUUGCACUUUGUAACGGUUAAAGCUGUAAGUAAAUACUGUAAAUUUUACUCAUUAAUCGGCUCUGGUUAAUUAUAACUACGGAAGAUUUUUAUUGA
rnacentral:rRNA from 1 species